rnacentral:rRNA from 1 species
AGUUUGAUCCUGGCUCAGAAUGAACGCUGGCGGCAUGGAUUAGGCAUGCAAGUCGAACGGUGAAGUGGAGCUUGCUCCGCGGAUCAGUGGCGAAAGGGUGAGCAACACGUGAGCAACCUGCCCCCGAGUUCGGGAUAGGCCCGGGAAACUGGGAUUAAUACCGGAUGUGGUUGUCCUGCUCAUGCGGGACGGACUAAAGGCGAAAGCCGCUCAGGGAUGGGCUCGCGUCCGAUUAGCUUGUUGGUAGGGUGACGGCCUACCAAGGCUUUGACCGGUAGCUGGUCUGAGAGGAUGGUCAGCCACACUGGGACUGAGACACUGCCCAGACUCCUACGGGAGGCUGCAGUCGAGAAUCUUCGGCAAUGGGCGAAAGCCUGACCGAGCGAUGCCGCGUGAGGGAUGAAGGCCUUCGGGUCGUAAACCUCUGUCACCCGGGACGAAGAAUGUGACGGUACCGGGAGAGGAAGCACCGGCUAACUACGUGCCAGCAGCCGCGGUAAUACGUAGGGUGCGAGCGUUAUUCGGAUUUACUGGGCGUAAAGGGUCCGCAGGGGGUUUGCCAAGUCCGAUGUGAAAUACCGCAGCUUAACUGUGGAACGGCAUUGGAUACUGGCGAACUAGAGUGCAUGAUGGGUGAGCGGAAUUCCUGGUGUAGCGGUGGAAUGCGUAGAUAUCAGGAAGAACACCGAUGGCGAAGGCGGCUCACUGGCGUGCAACUGACCCUCAGGGACGAAAGCGUGGGGAGCAAACAGGAUUAGAUACCCUGGUAGUC